rnacentral:rRNA from 1 species
CACGCCGUAAACGAUGGAUACUAGGUGUAGGGGGUAUCGACCCCCCCUGUGCCGGAGUUAACACAAUAAGUAUCCCGCCUGGGGAGUACGGCCGCAAGGUUGAAACUCAAAGGAAUUGACGGGGGCCCGCACAAGCAGCGGAGCAUGUGGUUUAAUUCGAAGCAACGCGAAGAACCUUACCAAGGCUUGACAUCCCCUGACAGCUGUUGAAAGGCAGCGUCUCUUCGGAGCAGGGAGACAGGUGG